AGUGAACGCUGGCGGCGUGCCUAAUACAUGCAAGUCGAACGAAGUGGCGCACGGGUGAGUAAUAUAUAGUUAAUCUGCCCUUCACAGAGGAACAACAGUUGGGAACGCCUGCUAAUACAUCAUAGUGUAGGAGGAGACUAUAACGUAUCAGCUAGUUGGUAAGGUAAUGGCUUACCAAGGCUAUGACGCGCAACUGGUCUGAGAGGAUGAUCAGGGACAUUGGAACUGAGACACGGUAGAAACUCCUACGGGAGGGAGCAGUAAGGAAUAUUGCGAAAUCGGGGAAACGCUGACGGAGCAACGCCGCGAGGAGGAUGACACUUUACGGGGCGUAAACUCGUUGUAUCAAGAAAGCGGUACCUGAUGAAUAAGCACCGGCUAACUCCGUGCCAGCAGCCGCGGUAAUAC
rnacentral:rRNA from 1 species